rnacentral:rRNA from 1 species
AUUGAACGCUGGCGGCAGGCCUUACACAUGCAAGUCGAGCGAGAAAGCACUUCGGUGCGAGUACAGCGGCGGACGGGUGAGUAACGCGUGGGAAUCUACCCAGUAGUGGGGGACAACUUGGGGAAACCCAAGCUAAUACCGCAUACGCCCUACGGGGGAAAGCGGGGGACCUUCGGGCCUCGCGCUAUUGGAUGAGCCUGCGUCGGAUUAGCUAGUUGGUGGGGUAAUGGCCUACCAAGACUGUGAUCAAUAGCUGAUUUGAGAGGAUGAUCAGCCACAUUGGGACUGAGACACGGCCCAAACUCCUACGGGAGGCAGCAGUGGGGAAUCUUGCACAAUGGAGGAAACUCUGAUGCAGCGAUGCCGCGUGAGUGAAGAAGGCCUUUGGGUUGUAAAGCUCUUUCGUCGGGGAAGAAAAUGACUGUACCCGAAUAAGAAGGUCCGGCUAACUUCGUG